UAACAGCUCAAAUUUGAAAUCUGGCUCCUUUGGGGCCCGAGUUGUAAUUUGUAGAAGAUGCUUUGGGUGAUCGGCCUAAGUUCCUUGGAACAGGACGUCGUAGAGGGUGAGAAUCCCGUAUGCGGCUGGCGCCCGCGCCCGUGUAAAGCUCUUUCGACGAGUCGAGUUGUUUGGGAAUGCAGCUCUAAAUGGGUGGUAAAUUUCAUCUAAAGCUAAAUAUUGGCCAGAGACCGAUAGCGAACAAGUACAGUGAUCGAAAGAUGAAAAGCACUUUGGAAAGAGAGUUAAACAGUACGUGAAAUUGUUGAAAGGGAAGCGCUGGCAACCAGACUUGGGCGCUGUUGAUCCGUUAGGGUUCUCCCUGGGGUGGAAGCAGCGCGCAGGCCAGCAUCGGUUUGGGGGGUUGGAGAAAGGCUGGUGGAAUGUGGCUGCCUUCGGGCAGUGUUAUAGCCACCGGUGGCAUGCAGCCUCCCCGGACCGAGGACCGCGCUUCGGCUAGGAUGCUGGCGUAAUGGUUGUUAGCGACCCG
rnacentral:rRNA from 1 species